rnacentral:rRNA from 1 species
GAUGAACGCUGGCGGCGUGCCUAAUACAUGCAAGUCGAGCGAACGGACGAGAAGCUUGCUUUUCUGAUGUUAGCGGCGGACGGGUGAGUAACACGUGGAUAACCUACCUAUAAGACUGGGAUAACUUCGGGAAACCGGAGCUAAUACCGGAUAAUAUUUUGAACCGCAUGGUUCAAAAGUGAAAGACGGUCUUGCUGUCACUUAUAGAUGGAUCCGCGCUGCAUUAGCUAGUUGGUAAGGUAACGGCUUACCAAGGCAACGAUGCAUAGCCGACCUGAGAGGGUGGUCGGACACACUGGAACUGAGACACGGUCCAGACUCCUACGGGAGGCAGCAGUAGGGAAUCUUCCGCAAUGGGCGAAAGCCUGACGGAGCAACGCCGCGUGAGUGAUGAAGGUCUUCGGAUCGUAAAACUCUGUUAUUAGGGAAGAACAUAUGUGUAAGUAACUGUGCACAUCUUGACGGUACCUAAUCAGAAAGCCACGGCUAACUACGUG